AGGUUUACCGGAGGGAUCAGAUGUUAUUCAACUCGUCACUCGUAGAAGGAAAAAAGAUCCCUUCCAGAUCUGCCCCCUGCUUCGGAAGGCCGUGGAAUGCAGUACAGUGCCUGGGUGGAACGCACUUCUUGUUUCUCUAGGCAACUGACAGCCCGUGACAGGACAUGACGUGGCGGAAAUAGACUGUGAAUGGGACACUGGGCGGAAGCGGUGGACGGUGGCAUCGUCGUUCCAGGGUGGCUAUUUAUGUGGGUCACAUGGGGAAGGUUCUCUCCGUGACGCCGGACGCAACGUGCGUCAGAUGACGUCAUUUCGACGCGCUGGGGCGCGAGGCGGGCGGAGACAUGGAUGGUCCCUGGGUAUAAGAUGUAUGUGUUUGUUUGUAUUUAUUGAUUGCACC